AGCAGCCGCGGUAAUUCCAGCUCCAAUAGCGUAUAUUAAAGUUGUUGCAGUUAAAAAGCUCGUAGUUGAAUUUCGGGGUUAGUAGGUUGGUCAUGCCUCUGGUAUGUACUGGUCUCACUGAUUCCUCCUUCCUGAUGAACCGUAAUGCCAUUAAUUUGGUGUUGCGGGGAAUUUGGACUGUUACUUUGAAAAAAUUAGAGUGUUUAAAGCAAGCUAACGCUUGAAUACAUUAGCAUGGAAUAAUGAAAUAGGACGUUUGAUUCUAUUUUGUUGGUUUCUAGGAUCGACGUAAUGAUUAAUAGGGAUAGUUGGGGGCAUUAGUAUUCAAUUGUCAGAGGUGAAAUUCCUGGAUUUAUUGAAGACUAACUACUGCGAAAGCAUUUGCCAAGGAUGUUUUCAUUAAUCAAGAACGAAAGUUAGGGGAUCGAAGACGAUCAGAUACCGUCGUAGUCUUAACCAUAAACUAUGCCGACUAGGGAUCGGAUGAUGUUAAUUUUUUAAUGACUC
rnacentral:rRNA from 1 species